rnacentral:lncRNA from 10 species
AGUAGAGACCGGGUUUCACCAUGUUAGCCAGGAUGGUCUCGAUCUCCUGACCUCGCGAUCCGCCCUUCUCAGCCUCCCAAAGUGCUGGGAUCACAGGCAUCAGCCACUGAGCCCGGCCACCUUUUUACUUUUAAGUCAGGUCAGGGAGCAUGGAUCAUCUGUGAGCAUGUCUACAAGGAGGACAAAGUGGGUAGUACUAUGGGGUCUCUUGCAUGUACCAUGCACACUGUAGUCUAUGUGAAUGCUGCUCCCCGGAAUCAUGUAGUGUACAAUCUUCCCUUUGGCAAUGGGAUGGGUAAUGGUUAUGAUGUGAAGCAAACUUUUUCUUUAUACCCUAUACAUUUUUUUUGUUUUUGCAGCAAGAUUUUUUUCAGAUACCAAUUUUAUAAUGAGUGAGAAUGAUAAUGAGGGACAGAACUACCAGGUAAAUAUUCCCCCACAUCUUGUUGUUGUAUUACAUAGACAUCCUGAAUUAGUUUUAAAAAGAAUGAUGAUUUUUUUUUCUUCUCACAAUGCUAUUAUUUUAAGGAGGAAGGCAUGUGAAGACUUUGUAUAUAGAGUCAAUAAGAAGAUUUUAAACACGUGCAUAUAAACUUGGCCGACAAGAGGCACUUGGAUCUAGAGAGACUGGCAGCAUAUAGCAGAACUUUAGCAUAGCCUAGAGCUCUGUUACAGAAAUUAUGAGCUGGAAGAAGAGACAAUGGUGAGCUGAUGGAAGUCAGAGCAGCCAGGUUAAUUAAUUAGGACUCUCAAUAAACACUAGAACAAAAAUAAAGACAGUAAUCCGCUAGAACAAAAUGGAAACCAAGGAGUCACUACCCACCCAUAGACCCAAUAACAAUAGAUGACAAUUUUUGAUAAGAAAAUUAGAAGCAGGAGAGAAAUUAGCAUUUUAUGAAAGAGCUUGUAGUCAGUUGGACAGAUGGAUGUUUAAUUCUUGAAUCCUCUAUUUACACAUGCUAGUGUAUCUUCCUCUCUGGAUCUGUUUCCAUAUAAGGGAUAUAAUAAUUAUUAUUUCAUACAGACAUUUUGUUGUGUUGUUGAUACAUUUGUGUGAGGUACACGAAUAAUGUAUCUAAGUGCCUUGUACAAUUCCUGGCACAUAGAUGUUCAUUAAAUGAUGGGUCUCUACCAACAUCUAAUAUGAAAAAAUAUUUCCAUUUCCCAGGGGCUUCAGAAGAUGAGUAUGAACUCAUCUUAGAGUUGAAGAAUGUAUCAGACAGGAACAGGUCAGAAAAAGAUCCCAAUCUAUGUAUGUCAUGUAUUUGGGGACUCAGAAGGAGACUUAUCUCAUGAUUAGAUGGUGUGCAUGGGCAAAGAAAGGAAAAAAAAUGCUGCUAUUUUCAUAAAGGCUGAAAAUGCAAUAAUUAUGGGAAAGUUGCUAACAAUGAUUUUAGAUGCUUGUCAAACCUAAACAGGAGGUCACCAGAAAAAUGCUCUAAAUCUCUUCACUGUGACAUCCACAUCUUACACUCAUGCCCUUAUUUAGCAUAAUUUCACCUGGAGCUCUAUUGUCCUGAGAUCCUAGAAAAUGUAGUGUCUAGGUUUCUCCUUUGUAAUUU